UACGGGGGGGCAAGCGUUGUUCGGAUUCAUUGGGCGUAAAGGGUGCGUAGGUGGCGCUGUAAGUCGGGUGUGAAAUUUCGGAGCUUAACUCCGAAACUGCAUUCGAUACUGCGGUGCUUGAGGACUGGAGAGGAGACUGGAAUUCAUGGUGUAGCAGUGAAAUGCGUAGAGAUCAUGAGGAAGACCAGUGGCGAAGGCGGGUCUCUGGACAGUUCCUGACACUGAGGCACGAAGGCCAGGGAGCAAACGGG
rnacentral:rRNA from 1 species